rnacentral:lncRNA from 1 species
GGACAUUCUGGGGCUUCCCAUCUCCAACAUAAGAAGCUAAGAAGGCUGCAGCUUCCACCGGGCCUCUUGGGCUGCGUACUCUUGACACUCCUGCUCUGAGAACUAAGCAGGCAUAUUUCAUAUCAAAAUAGUAAAGAACUUCCUUUCCAAAGGCAGGACUUGCUUCUGUGAGGUACUGAGCCACCCGUCCCUGGAGGAAAGCAAGAACAGAGCAGAUCAGAGCCCAGGAAGACAUCUUGGAUGAUGGGGUACAUCUUGCCAUCCAGAGGCAAUGCUGGAGCGGGCAGUUGUCUGCGGGGAGGCCCUGGCUCACUCUGGGCCAAAUAACAGGACUGAUUGCAGCCAGCGAUGAAACAUCCUGUUUCUCCCAACCAGAAACAGGUAGAGAAGUCAGCAUUUUACAUGAUUCUGGGAGGGAAGAAAGGAGACAGGAACCAAGGAGCCUGAGUAGGGAUUUGCCCACCGCUGGGCAGCCAGGCUCCUGUCAGGAAGGCUUUUCAGAGGGAGUGUUGGAAGGAGUCGUCGAGGAGUCUUCCUCACCCAGGAAGUCUUCCUCACCGGAUUGUCGUUGGAAAUGCAUUUUGCCCAACUUUUUUAUUCUUAAGGGAAAAAGUAUAAAAAGAAAGCUGCUCAUGAUUUGGAUUCUUUCAGAUAUAAGUAUUACUUUGACAUAGAUUCAUGUUAACUCAAGAAAUAAAUUCAUAAAUAAAAUACAGGAUCAGAUGAGCCUUCCUUGUCAUGCUUUGAAGGAAAUAUUUC